GAUCCCUCCUUUGUGGAGUUGUUCUGUGAGCCUAGACCUUUGGAGGCAGAACAUGAAAUGCUAAAUAGUCAACUGCUUAAGGGAUCAUUUCUCCCUUUCUGUGUUCCCCAAGAUGAAUAACAUCAGCAGCAAGGAAACAAGGCCCAAGCACAGAAACAGCACAUCUUUUUGUGCGCUCCACCAGUGGACCUGCUGCACACCUUCAGAGCUGAUACCAAACCACACCUACACCCAGUCCCAGCCAGAAACCUCAAGCCCAGAGACAGCACACACAGAUCAGGGACAAAAGGACACAGCUCACCUCGCUCCACAGAGCAGCUGGAGUCACACCCAUGGGAUGCCCACUCUGAACCUGCAGGAAGAACUCAGCAAAGCUCUUCUGAGGGGCCACCGAGUGGGCAGGUCAGAGGGCUCACCUCCUUUAUUGGGCUGAUCUUCAGUGCUCUCCUGUGGUGCUUGCCUUGUGAGCAGAUCAUCCCAGUCCCUCAGGAAAGCAGCCUCCCUACAGCACAUCACCAACAAAAACAUCCAGACUCAACUUGAAGAUCCCCAGAGAAGGGCACCCCACAGCCUAUUCCAUCACCCUCACAGUGAAAUCAUUCUUCCUUCUGUUCAUACAGCUGCCAGUGUUCCAGUCUGUGAACAUUACUCC
ensembl:lncRNA